UUCGCUGUCCCUUCGUUUACUUCAAAAAAGUUUCUGUUUCCAUAUACUUUUUUCUAUAUAUAACGUAUUUUAAGCGGCAUUAAGCAUCUUUAUCGCUGUCUUUAAAGCGUCUCUUAAAGUAAUUUUGGUUUUAAAAAAAUGAAAAAUACAUAAUUAGAGAAGAACCGUGUCUUAAUUAGAGACGAGAUGAGGCAUCUCUUGGUGGCACGUGUAGGCGUGUAAGAGGACAGAGGAGGGGCGUCUUCUUUCUUCGUCGUUUCUCUCCUCUCUCUCGAAAGUUCUCUCCUGCGACGAAAAUCAUCGUCGUCGGACUGUGUUGAUUCUUCUUCGUCUUCUUCAGUGGCUCCACUCCUGAGGAAAUGCUACGAAAUGGUCGACGAUUCCUCAACCAAUUCCAUCAUCUCGUGGAGUAGUAAUGGAGACAACAGCUUCGUUAUCUCGGACACGGCCCUCUUCUCUGCUCAACUCUUGUCCAAAUACUUCAAACACAGCAAACACACAACACGACCCUCUUCUCUGAAUUUAGCAAAGUUGAUGCAGAUCGUUGGGAGUUUGCUAAUGACUGGUUUGUGAGAGGACAAAAAGAGUUGUUAAAGAAUGUUCAGAGUAGUAGUGAGCAUCAGAGAAAAACUACUGCUGAUGAUGCUUAUCAGGAAAAAAGGUCUGGGGAGAGUGAACUGUGGAAAGAGGUUGAUAUUUUGAAAGGGGAUAAGAAGGCAUUGGCGCAGGAGCUGGUGAAAGUUAGGCAAUACCAGGAGAGCACAUACGCUAAGAUGCUACACUUAGAAGACAGAGUUCAAGGGAUGGAAGAGAGUCAGCAAGAGAUGCUUUCGUUUUUGGUUAUGGUUAUGCAGAACCCAAGUCUCUUGGUUCACAUUGUUCACUAGAAACAGAGUAAAGACAGUUCCUUUGUGUAUCUGAAAGGACAUGAUCAGUGAGUUGCCUGAAGCUUUGCUCCUGCAUAUAUUGUCUUCAGUUCCAACAAAAGAUGUCAUAGCAACGAGUGUUUUGUCUAAACGGUGGAGAUAUGUUUGGAAGAUGGUGCCAAAGCUCAAGUAUGUAUCUGAAUUGACCAUGUCUCUGCAGAGGAUGUUAACAGGUUGCUGAUUUUGCAUGAAGGUCCAGUUCUGGAAAUUUUGCAUCUGUACGCAUGUGUAUGAAGCUUGUGUAGUCUGGUUUGUAUUCUUUGUGUAGUCUAGUCACUUGUGUAAUUAGGGAUGGCAAUUGGGCUCUCCCGUCCCGUCCCGUCCCGUCCCGAACCGCUGCGGGUUCGGCUUCUGGCGGUACACGGCGGACCUGUCCCGCGCGGGAUGCGGUCUUCAAACUAGCUGCCCAAUCCCGUACCGCGAAAUAUGCAGGACUUCGCGGGCCGUCCCGCGGGACAUCGAAUAUUAUAUUGCUUGUUUUUAUAUGCACAAACAAACAUAGAAAAUAAUUGAGUUUGAGCUUA